GACGAACGCUGGCGGCGUGCCUAAUACAUGCAAGUUGAGCGCUGAAGGUUGGUACUUGUACCAACUGGAUGAGCAGCGCACGGGUGAGUAACGCGUGGGGAAUCUGCCUUUGAGCGGGGGACAACAUUUGGAAACGAAUGCUAAUACCGCAUAAAAACUUUAAGCACAAGUUUUAAGUUUGAAAGAUGCAAUUGCAUCACUCAAAGAUGAUCCCGCGUUGUAUUAGCUAGUUGGUGAGGUAAAGGCUCACCAAGGCGAUGAUACAUAGCCGACCUGAGAGGGUGAUCGGCCACAUUGGGACUGAGACACGGCCCAAACUCCUACGGGAGGCAGCAGUAGGGAAUCGUCGGCAAUGGACGAAAGUCUGACCGAGCAACGCCGAGUGAGGGAAGAAGGUUUUCGGAUCGUAAAACUCUGUUGGUAGAGAAGAACGUUGGUGAGAGUGGAAAGCUCAGCAAGUGACGGUAACUACCCAGAAAGGGACGGCUAACUACGUG
rnacentral:rRNA from 1 species